UUAAGUCACUCCCUGUGUCUAAAAGCUAGAGAGAGAAAGUAGAUCUCGCCCAACACUGCUUCCUUCAAACAAAACCCAGAUCGACGUUUCUUCCAAACAACCCAAAUCGAUGUUUGCGGCUUCUUGCAACGAAAUAGAGACAUCAUGUUUUGGGAGACCCUAGUUUUUUGAUGAGUUGAUUAUCAGCGAAAUUGAUUCUGGUAUUGGAGAUCUUCGAUGAUUCUGCCGGGCCAUCUUCAGAGCUUCAACUGCGUUUUAAGAGUUCGCCGCAAUAACAACAGGUUCUCCUGAUAUUUCAUUUACAGUGAUCGCCAGUUAUUUAGGAGUGACUUUUUGGAGAUUUGAUGAUAAUGAAGGAAAAGAUGCUUUGCCGAUGAACAUAUCUGGAGAUUAUGACUAAAAGUGAAUACUAUCACAUGGGAUUAGAACUCCUAAUAUUAUUAUCACUAAAUGUGACGAUUAGGUUAAA